UACGUAGGGGGCAAGCGUUGUCCGGAUUUAUUGGGCGUAAAGAGCUCGUAGGUGGUUCGGUAAGUCGGAUGUGAAAUCUCCAGGCUCAACCUGGAGGGGUCAUUCGAUACUGCCGUGACUAGAGUUCGGUAGGGGAGUGUGGAAUUCCUGGUGGAGCGGUGAAAUGCGCAGAUAUCAGGAGGAACACCGAUGGCGAAGGCAGGUCAGCCUAGGGCCGCAACUGACGCGUGAGGAAGCGGAAAGCAUGGGGAGCGAACAGG
rnacentral:rRNA from 1 species